CCAGACUCCUACGGGAGGCAGCAGUGGGGAAUAUUGCACAAUGGGGGAAACCCUGAUGCAGCGACGCCGCGUGAGUGAAGAAGUAUUUCGGUAUGUAAAGCUCUAUCAGCAGGGAAGAAAAUGAUGGUACCUGACUAAGAAGCCCCGGCUAACUACGUGCCAGCAGCCGCGGUAAUACGUAGGGGGCAAGCGUUAUCCGGAUUUACUGGGUGUAAAGGGAGCGUAGACGGCAUGGCAAGUCAGAUGUGAAAGCCCGGGGCUCAACCCCGGGACUGCAUUUGAAACUGUCAGGCUGGAGUGCAGGAGAGGCAGGCGGAAUUCCUAGUGUAGCGGUGAAAUGCGUAGAUAUUAGGAGGAACACCAGUGGCGAAGGCGGCCUGCUGGACGACAACUGACGGUGAGGCGCGAAAGCGUGGGGAGCAAACAGGAUUAGAUACCCGAGUA
rnacentral:rRNA from 1 species